AAAAUUGGGUAACAUUAUUAAAAUUGUUGGACUAUGUUUUUAUCUAGCCCAAAUCAAUUAAAAGAGAAGCCCAAGGAAAAUAAAUUGUAAUCCAAUACUUAGCCCACUUGAUUGGGGGUAUUCUAGACAUUUGAUUAAUCAAAAUUGGGCAUUUAAAAUAAAAGUUAAAUGGUGGAUAUUAUGAGGAUCCUAAGUGGAAUAAUUAAUCUAGCUUGUCCAUUAGUAGACAUGAAUAAACAUAAGGACAAUGUGGUAAGGCUCCCAUUGGUUGCCACUCCAUUAUGCAC
rnacentral:lncRNA from 1 species